GACGAACGCUGGCGGCGUGCUUAACACAUGCAAGUCGAACGGAAAUGCCCUGCUUUUGUGGGGUGCUCGAGUGGCGACCGGGUGAGAAACCCGUGAGUAACCUGCCCUUGACUUUGGGAUAACUUCAGGAAACUGGGGCUAAUACCGGAUAGGAGCUCCUGCUGCAUGGUGGGGGUUGGAAAGUUUCGGCGGUUGGGGAUGUACUCGCGGCUUAUCAGCUUGUUGGUGGGGUAGUGGCUUACCAAGGCUUUGACGGGUAGCCGGCCUGCGAGGGUGACCGGCAACAUUGGGACUGAGAUACGGCCCAGACUCAUACGGGAGGCAGCAGUGGGGAAUAUUGCACAAUGGGCGGAAGCCUGAUGCAGCACCGCCGCGUGCGGGAUGACGGCCUUCGGGUUGUAAACCGAUUUCGCCUGUGACGAAGCGUGAGUGACGGUAAUGGGUAAAGAAGCCCCGGCUAACUACGUG
rnacentral:rRNA from 1 species